rnacentral:rRNA from 1 species
GUGGUAAUGCCGGAUGCUCCAUCACACUGCAUGGUGUGUUGGGAAAGCCUUUGCGGCAUGGGAUGGGGUCGCGUCCUAUCAGCUUGAUGGCGGGGUAACGGCCCACCAUGGCUUCGACGGGUAGCCGGCCUGAGAGGGCGACCGGCCACAUUGGGACUGAGAUACGGCCCAGACUCCUACGGGAGGCAGCAGUGGGGAAUAUUGCACAAUGGGCGCAAGCCUGAUGCAGCGACGCCGCGUGAGGGAUGGAGGCCUUCGGGUUGUAAACCUCUUUUGUUAGGGAGCAAGGCACUUUGUGUUGAGUGUACCUUUCGAAUAAGCACCGGCUAACUACGUGCCAGCAGCCGCGGUAAUACGUAGGGUGCAAGCGUUAUCCGGAAUUAUUGGGCGUAAAGGGCUCGUAGGCGGUUCGUCGCGUCCGGUGUGAAAGUCCAUCGCUUAACGGUGGAUCCGCGCCGGGUACGGGCGGGCUUGAGUGCGGUAGGGGAGACUGGAAUUCCCGGUGUAACGGUGGAAUGUGUAGAUAU